AUUUGCUCAGACCUAAUGCAGUUCACUACUCCUAGGUAAAUAGAAGACAUUGCCCCUGCAACUCUAAGCACAGCCGGUGCCCAGGACAACAUACAACAAAUCCUGUUGCAAGGAUCUAAGCCUGAGAUUGGUGAUUUUACACUGAGAGUCUGUUGAAUCUUCCUGGCACUCAUGAGGUUAAAUCCUAGGACAUCUAAGAAGAAAGAAAAGCAAAUGGAGGUUCUUCAGUAAACUGGAACUGAUGUGACUGGGCAGACUCUGGAGCGUCAAGAAUACGCUGCAUCAGGCAAAGGAAGGUGGAUCAAUUCCCUGCAGUUUAAGUGACUGAGCCUGACCAAGGUUACCUGCAGACAGGGAGUUGUUUUCACAGACAGAGCUGGAAUAUUGAAACUCGUCGCUCUAUACCUCUCCAUUCCCUGCAUUCCCAGCUCAAGUAAAGAUCUAUUUUUGCCCGGGAGGUCUGAAUAAGGCAUCAUGUUGGUGACAGGAUGAAUGGGCCUCACAGGGAACCGUAACUCCAGCUUCUCAGACAGCCGGACCCUGCCUCUCCCCCCGGGUGCUUUGCUACUUAUCAGCGGGACGAAGACAAGUAGGCGUAGGUGCCACUGGGCUGAAGCGCCUUCAGAUCUACAGCACCCACGGAUAUAAACCAGGACUUCCAUUUCUGAAGCAAUUGCAACAACUCUUUAGCCCAGAGGAUGGUUACAGUUUAAGAAGAUAAAUUUGCAAAAG